rnacentral:lncRNA from 1 species
UUCUGGAAUUGAAGAUGCGUUUGGUUGCUCCUCUUCCCUUCGUUCCGUUGAAUGUUGUUCUGGUUCUUUCUGAUUUUCCUCAACUUCAGUAACCACAGGUUCACCUUUUACUGUUUCUGUAGGCUCAACUUCAGUAGCCACAGGUUCUUCUUUUACCGUUUCUGUAGCUUGAACUUCAGUAGCCACAGGUUCUUCUUUUACCAUUUCUCUAGGAUCAACUUCAGUAACCACAGGUUUGACUUUUACUGAUUCUGUCAGAUCAACUUCAGUAACCAGGGGUUCUUUUACUGUUUUUGUAAUUUCAACUUCUGUAGCCACAGCUUCUUCUUUUACUGUCUCUGUAGGAUCAACUUCAGUAACUAUAGGUUCGUCUUUUACCGUUUCUGUUGCCUCGAAUUCAGUAGCUGCAGGUUCAUCUUUUACCAUUUCUGUAGGCUCAACUACAGUUGUCACAGGUUCUUCUUUUACGGUUUCUGUAGCUUCAACUUCAGUAGCCACAGAUUCUUCUUUUACUGUUUCUGUAGCUUCAACUUCAGUAGCCACUGGUUCUUCUUUUACUGUUUCUGUAGCUUCAACUUCAGUAGCCACUGGUUCUUCUUUUACUGUUUCUGUAGCUUCAACUUCAGUAGCUGCAGGUUCGUCUUUUACCGUUUCUGUAGCCUCAACUUCAGUUGCCACAGGUUCUUCUUUUACCGUUUCUGUAGGCUCAACUUCAGUAGCCACGGGUUCUUCUUUUACUGUUUCUGUAGCUUCAGCUUCAGUAGCUAGAGGUUCUUCUUUUACCGUUUCUGUAGGAUCAACUUCAGUAACCACAGGUUCGUCUUUUACGGUUUCUGUAACCUUAACUUCAGUAGCUGCAGGUUCUUCUUUUACUGUUUCCGUAGCCUCAACUUCAGUAGCCACAAGUUCUUCUUUUAGUGUUUCUGUAGCCUCAACUUCAGUAACCACGGGUUCUUCUUUUACUAUCUCUGCAGUCGCAACUUCGGUAACCAUGGGUUCUUCUUUCACUGUUUCUGUAG